ACCUGUGCGGCUGAUGACGACACUGCUGCUGAGCCCCUGUGAUUGCUCAGUCUCAAAGUAAAUGCCCUGACGCGCCCUGG